rnacentral:rRNA from 1 species
CCUACGGGAGGCUGCAGUGAGGAAUAUUGGUCAAUGGGCGAGAGCCUGAACCAGCCAAGUCGCGUGAGGGAGUACUGCCCUAUGGGUUGUAAACCUCUUUUGUCGGGGAGCAAAAGCCGGACGUGUCCUGCUGUGAGAGUACCCGAAGAAAAAGCAUCGGCUAACUCCGUGCCAGCAGCCGCGGUAAUACGGAGGAUGCGAGCGUUAUCCGGAUUUAUUGGGUUUAAAGGGUGCGCAGGCGGAUUUUUAAGUCAGCGGUAAAAUCGUGGGGCUCAACCCCAUCCAGCCGUUGAAACUGGGGAUCUAGAGUGUGCGAGAGGUAUGCGGAAUGCGUGGUGUAGCGGUGAAAUGCUUAGAGAUCACGCAGAACCCCGAUUGCGAAGGCAGCAUACCGGUGCACAACUGACGCUCAGGCACGAAAGCGUGGGUAUCGAACAGGAUUAGAUACCCUAGUAGUC